GCCUGUUCUGCGAAAUGAGGCGCGGGGGUGAGAGCUACGGAUGAGCGUUUCUAUUCAGAAGUGAAUGAGAAUUUCUUAGGCUUUUACGUUAAAAACGUAUCCUAUAAAUGAGUAUGUGCGACUGCACUAAGCAGAAAGGAUGCCUGCGCCAGGGCCUGUGCGCUGACGGAGCCGCAACCUUUCAUCUUCUGCCCACUGGAGCCUUCUGGCAAGAAGGGGAGGAGAAUCACAAGAGCAAAUUUGCAACACCCAUUUGAAGUCCAAGUUAUUUCAUACCUGCCUUAAUCCUUACUGGAGGAGGAACAUCUGAGCCCUGCAAGGCAGUGCAUGUGACAUGAAUUAUACUUCCCCUGGAAAUGCUUAAAGAUCUUCAAGGAGAUCAGGCCGUGAGCACAGAAGUCAUCUGGAAGAGAAACCCCCAUUUCUAGUCAAGGUAGGAGAACUGAUUUUUCCCAGAGCAACUGUGGACCAGCAGCUCCUUUAGUGAAAAUCUUUGUUCCCUUUAAGAUGACAAGUGUCAUUCACAUGUACUCUGUCCUAAUAGAAAAGGUGGGCUGUUUGUGAUUAAACAUUUUCCCCAUCCCAUUCUAUGUAUAUUGGCCAAACUAAGAGAACAUGUUUAUAGAGAUUAGAGGAGGAUGGAGGAGUAGCCAAGUGGAUCAGAUGACUUUUCAAUGGCAUAGAGAGCAAAUCCAACAAAUUCACAUGAAGAUACAGAGCCACUAAGUGCCAUUGUUACAGUUUUCCAAACUGACUCAGAAUAUACCAAGAAAUUACAAAAGGAAAGAGCAUAAGUAAUAUUAAAUUUAAUCCAGAGUAUUACACACACACAUGUACACACAUUUACACAUCAGAGACACUGCUUUUAUAUCAGAUAAAUAAAAAAACUUAAAAUUCAGGUACAUAAAACAUUUUAAGGGAGCAUGGACUGUUUUCUUUUUUUUAGGAAGUCUUGUGAAUGCUUUAGGAAAGGGUCCUUUUAACAUAUGAAACAGAUGUGUAAAGGGUCUUUAUAAAUUCACAUUUCUUUAUAAAUUCAUGUUUCUGUAUAAAACACCCCAGGAUCUGAAGACGAGCCUGAUGGUUAAAUCAAGCAUGCAGGACAAUCAUAAACCAAAAUUGGUUUUUAGAAAGCAAUUAUCCCAGGUAGGAGGAUAACCAAGUGGACUGAGAGAUUGAGCUUCAUGAGCUAUGUGCCUUGAUGCAAAAAAGGCAAAGUGGGUUGGAAGCUGGCAGAAAACCUAACACUGUGUCAUUUCGGUGUCUAGGAACGAAAGAGUGUUUGCACGACCUGGUGGUGACUGCCAAAGCUGAGCUCUCAAGAGCAAAAUAUUUUGCCUAAGUAAGAUAAUUAGGCUUUACCCCAAAGGAUGGGGACCCAGCUUCAGUGGUAAGUCAGACUACUAUUAGAAGGAGGCAGGGCAUGGGUUCCUGCCUAACUAAAGUGGGAUUUUUCCUUCAAAACAAAUCCAAAGAAAUCUCUUAGCAUUGUCUAUAUGCACUGCUUAUUGAAAUCUGGGUUACCAUAAAAUUUAAGACAAGUCAUUCUGCAAAUGUAUAUGUAGUUUGGAUCUGAAGUUCCCUAAGUGCAGGUAUUGGAGGAGCUGCUUGCUAGGGAAAGCACUGACAGGGCCAGCUUGGGGGCAGUGUUUGUCCUUCAUUCAACCUUCUACUAUAUCUAAUGAGACCCUCUGAUAGGGAAGGAAAUGACUCUCCAUCUUGGCUCCUUCCGAUCCACAACUACUUUUCUGGUUUUCAUAGGGGUGGAAUGAGGUGGGACAUGGGAGAGAAGGAACUUGUAAUAAUACCAACUUAGGAGUUGGUAUAACUUGACUGAAAGUUUUCUAGAUGUUCUUGUUGAUUUUAUCUGUCUAUUCAGACGUCUUAAAAACUGGCCAUGCUUAGUUCAUCACCAAUUUAACAAAUAGUUGUUGAGCACCUACAAUAUACCAGUAAUAGAGAUAAAAAUAUGAAUAAAUCAUAGAAGCUUACUGUCUGGGGCUGGGGGUAGAGAGUUGAGGCAAAGAAAAAUAGACACAAACUGACCAACUGAUCAUUUAAAUAC